rnacentral:rRNA from 1 species
UACGUAGGGGGCAAGCGUUGUCCGGAUUUAUUGGGCGUAAAGAGCGUGUAGGCGGCCUGGUAGGUCAGUUGUGAAAACUCGAGGCUCAACCUCGAGACGCCGAUUGAAACCACCUGGCUAGAGUCCGGAAGAGGAGAGUGGAAUUCCCGGUGUCAGCGGUGAAAUGCGCAGAUAUCGGGAAGAACACCCGUGGCUAAGGCGGCUCUCUAGUACGGUACUGACGCUGAGACGCGAAAGCGUGGGGAGCGAACAGG